AGCGAACGCUGGCGGCAGGCCUAACACAUGCAAGUCGAACGCGUGUAGCAAUACACGAGUGGCAGACGGGUGAGUAACACGUGGGAACGUACCUUUCGGUUCGGAAUAACUCAGGGAAACUUGUGCUAAUACCGGAUACGCCUUUACGGGGAAAGAUUUAUCGCCGAAAGAUCGGCCCGCGUCUGAUUAGCUUGUUGGUGAGGUAACGGCUCACCAAGGCGACGAUCAGUAGCGGUCUGAGAGGAUGAUCAGCCACAUUGGGACUGAGACACGGCCCAAACUCCUACGGGAGGCAGCAGUGGGGAAUAUUGGACAAUGGCGAAAGCCUGAUCCAGCCAUGCCGCGUGAGUGAUGAAGGCCCUAGGGUUGUAAAGCUCUUUCGGCGGGGACGAUAAUGACGGUACCCGCAGAAGAAGCCCCGGCUAACUUCGUGCC
rnacentral:rRNA from 1 species